rnacentral:rRNA from 1 species
UACGUAGGGGGCAAGCGUUGUUCGGAAUUAUUGGGCGUAAAGCGCGUGUAGGCGGCUCGGUAAGUCUGCUGUGAAAGUCUAAGGCUCAACCUUGGAAAGCCGGUGGAUACUGUCGAGCUCGAGUCCGGAAGAGGCGAGUGGAAUUCCUGGUGUAGCGGUGAAAUGCGCAGAUAUCAGGAGGAACACCGGUGGCGAAGGCGGAUCUCUGGGCCUUACCUGACGCUGAGGCGCGAAAGCUAGGGGAGCGAACAGG